rnacentral:tRNA from 1 species
CGGGGAAUAGCGCAGUCUGGUAGCGCGCCUGCUUUGGGUGCAGGAUGUCGGGGGUUCAAAUCCCUCAUCUCCGACCA